GUCCUAAGGUAGCGAAAUUCCUUGUCGGGUAAGUUCCGACCUGCACGAAUGGCGUAACGAUGGCCACACUGUCUCCUCCCGAGACUCAGCGAAGUUGAAAUGUUUGUGAUGAUGCAAUCUACCCGCGGCUAGACGGAAAGACCCCAUGAACCUUUACUGUAGCUUUGCAUUGGACUUUGAAUCAAUCUGUGUAGGAUAGGUGGGAGGCUUUGAAGCGGGGACGCCAGUUCUCGUGGAGCCAUCCUUGAAAUACCACCCUGGUUCAUUUGAGGUUCUAACCUUGGUCCGUUAUCC
rnacentral:rRNA from 1 species